rnacentral:rRNA from 1 species
GACGAACGCUGGCGGCGUGCUUAACACAUGCAAGUCGAACGGUGAAGCGCCUUCCUUUUUGGUGGGUGUGGAUGAGUGGCGAACGGGUGAGUAACACGUGAGUAACCUGCCCCCUUCUUCUGGAUAACCGCAUGAAAGUGUGGCUAAUACGGGAUAUUCUGGGUCUGUCGCAUGAUGGGUCUGGGAAGGAUAUUGUUUCGGUGGGGGAUGGGCUCGCGGCCUAUCAGCUUGUUGGUGGGGUGAUGGCCUACCAAGGCGGUGACGGGUAGCCGGCCUGAGAGGGUGGACGGUCACACUGGGACUGAGACACGGACCAGACUCCUACGGGAGGCAGCAGUGGGGAAUAUGGCACAAUGGGCGAAAGCCUGAUGCAGCGACGCCGCGUGAGGGAUGGAGGCCUUCGGGUUGUGAACCUCUUUCGCCAGUGAAGCAGGCCUGCCUCGUUUGUGGGUGGGUUGACGGUAGCUGGAUAAGAAGCGCCGGCUAACUACGUG